AACUUAAUUUGUGAUUUGAACUCAAAAGCUGUUUAGGUUAAGCAGAACUCAAGCUAAAUAAAUUACUAUAAAUUAAUUUAAUCUACCAUACAAUCUAUGAUUUUUACGUAUAAAUGGCUGACCACAAAAUAUUUAAAAGAAAAAUGAGCAUAAUUCAUGAUUUCAAACAUGUUAAAAGUAAUUAAUUUUACUCGACAAAAUAUUAUCUGGGUGUUUUUCAAAAACCGCGCGCAUUUUUCAGUCAGUCGCGUCCACACUCUGCUCAUCCCCCGCGGGACCGCGCUCAUUUGCUCACUCACACUGAUCACAGCAGGACUACAGGCGACGCGGUCACGGAAAAUAACAGCCGGACACAGACAAACGAGUCCCGCAAAGUGUAUUUUUAAACUAAGGUUAGAGAGACGGCUGACAGUAUCUUCGUCAUCUCUAACCGUCACUCCCGCCACAUAUCUGAAGCGAGUGCAAAGGCAGAGAGGGGCGGUGUGAUGGUAUUGGCAGCAAGAAGGCUGCAAUACUAAUAUGGGCCUGAAAUGAAGAACAAUAUCAGUCAUUCAAGCUAUGAUCCUGGCAGAUCUACUAUCUGAAAAAAGACUCAGCAGAUUUUUUUCAAGACACACAAGAUGGAGCGUGGAGAGACCGGACAGUUCCCACAGUGCUAGUUUUUCAGCACCCACACCCCACACACAAAUUCAUAUAGAAGUUUUCAAUAAUAAAAAGUUUAUAUGAUAGUUUAUAUUUAGCUAUGAAGUUAUAGUUCAUUGUCAUUAAUAUUAAACUAAAUAUUUAAGUCCCCCUGUAGUGAAAAUCAAGUUUUUAUGCUGUUUAUUUGUCUUUGUGGUUUUAAAUAUUGCUACAU